AUGUGCAAUAUGAUGAUUUCAUAGUUCAACUGACAUCUGUGAUGUCUUACUAUUUAUGUCUUUCGCUCCUAUCUGAUAUGCAUAG